rnacentral:lncRNA from 1 species
AAGCACACUAGUAGGCAACUACCAAAGCUAUUUAAAAAGUCAAUAAUCCUGAAAAUUUAAAAAACAUUUAAAAUAUGAAUAUUAUUCUAACAAUCUUUCCACAUACUGGGAUACAGGGCACAAGAACUGCGUAUUUAGGCUCUUUAGUAUUAUAAUGACAUCAAUGUCAAUACUCCAUUGUACUAAUAACCUUGAAGAAUUAAUACUUCCUAAAGGCCAAUACAAUUUUGACGAAACUGCUGCUAGGCCAAAACAAUUUUAUUGGCCAGAAUGCUGGGCUUGUAAUAGAAAUCAUAUCGACAAGAUAAAUAUAACAAAUAUUCAAAUGCUUUAAUUGAUAUGUGAUUACACAAGAAGAGAUUAAGAAACAGAGACAUAAAAGCUGAGGGAUGGUUAGCUCCCAUGGAAGAAAAAGAAAGAGGAAUGUUUAGCAGUAAUUCUGUCAUGUCCGAAGUAGACCUGUAACUGCAUCAGUUUGGCAAGUGGAGAAUCUGAACUUGGCAAUUGUGUAAGAGCAAAGGGAAGACCUAGGAGUAAUGUAGAGUGGGAGUAAUUGGGUUUCUUGCCCUCACCAAAUCAUGAAAUAUGCAUAUACAGUCAAUGUAAGAGGUCCUCAGUUCAAUUCCUAUUGACUGCUACUUUUUUUCUGUGUAAUAUUGUCCAUGUAGAUAAAUAUGACUGUAACAACAUAUGUGUGUGUGAUCUAUACAAUACAUGAGCAUUACUGAAUAAUGCUCAUUCCCAAAUAACUAAAGUGUUGAAGAGCUAAUGAAUUAACCACUCAACGAAUUUUUUUAGUAGAGUACACUUUUUCCCCCACUAGUAAAAAUUUCUAGAUCUGCCCCUGCAGAACAAAAGAGAAUUGGUCAGAAGAUCCAGCAGAUAGGGGACUAACUACGCACCUCGUGACAAAGACAAACAGAGGAUGACAUAUUACUUGAUGUAACCAACCUAAAGUGAUAUAGAUGUGAGGAUGACAUAGAAAUUAAGACAGAUCUAUGGUUGCUCUUGUAUAUUGAAUGGGUAUCAAGUUAGUUCUAUCAAUAUAUAUUAUGUACUACAUUUGUUACUUACAGAAGAUCUACAUAACCCUGAACUAUUAACGGAAAGGAGAUGAGGAUUAAGCAUAGCAUACAUAAAUAUACUUUAGUUUAAUACGUACACUUGGGCAUGCUAUUCAAAUAUCAUACAGCAGAAAAACUGGUCAAACAACCAUAGAGAAUAACAUGGUAGCAUAAUGACAAACACUAGAGCAAACACUGGGCAAAAAGGUUAAAGGAUACUCAGGGAAUUUGCAAGAAUUAAUCCAAUUGCUCCAGCUGAUCGAAUAAGUAAUACAUUUAGAACAAUAUAAACCAACGAGAAUAUUAGCAACGAAUCAUUCGAGCGUUUGAGUUGGUUCUCUGUUGCUACUGCAUGCAAAAAUGCUUCUGAUGUUCCUGAUGCAGCAUCAUAACAAUGAUAAAUAAGAUUUAAACAGAAUAUAAAAAGCAUGACUUGAGAAAUGUAAGCGUCUCCCAAAUUAAUUAACUCGUGUUAUAGUCUCCAUUUUAAAAAGUACCAUUCCUAUGCAGAUAGUAACUACAAGGAACUACAUGUAUGAUUCUACCAACUUGCUUCAAAAUGAUUGAUUACACAUUCCGCAUACUUUUAUUAUUAGACUUCAAUAAGAAUAACCGAACAACACAAAAUAUGUUAUACAUAAAUGCAUUUACUCUAUGCUAUCAUUUUCUACUUUUUCAGAUGUCAAAAAAAAUGUCAUCAUUCUAUUAUUGAUACUACGUGUGUCCUAAUUCUCCAACAUGAGGUCAAUUCUCUUAGUCCUUAAGUUGAACAAGUUUACACUGGAUAAUAUGAAAUGCAAGGAGCAGAGAGGUAUGCAUGUAUGGAUAGUUGUGGAAGGAAGAUGCAUCGCUAUAAAUUCGUAAACAUGGGAGCAAUUUUCAGUUGCAGGAAAAUUUUCGGAAUUUAUAAUAUUCUAAAUAAGCAUUUGCCCAAAUAAUUUAACAUAUAAAUAUUUUUAGAGUUUAUUGCAAAAUGCACCCCCCCUGGAUUUUCAAAAACGCAUUUAUGGCCAAUACUUUACAUAAUUGCACUUUGCACCCCGCUGGUUCGUUUGACGCGUCACUUUGAACCUCUUCCGUUAAUUUUGACUGUUAAGGUUAAAAGUCUCGGGGGUAGUUUGGGAAAUUUUAAAAAAAUAAUUUUAACCAGAUUUUAUUUAAAUUUUUUAACCCUCUAAACAAUUUUUUUUUGAAAAAUCUUAAAAAACGAAAGUUGUAGGGAAUGAAAAGAUCCUUUUAAAACAAUAAAAUUCAAAAUUAUUUAAAUCUUUUUUUUAAUUGUUUAAUAAAUUACAAAAAAUGGGGAUCUUGUAAAAAUUCGUAAUAAAUUCAAUUAAUUUCGGAUUUCGAUGAUUUUUGGUGACUCGGAAAACACUUUCAAUUACCUAAAACUUUCGAAUUUUAUUUCUAACCUGGAAUUAAUUAAAACCUACUUUAAUUGAAUUUUAAAAUAAAAAAUGAGUUGUAAACAUUAUUUCGAAAAUAUUAGAAACAUAAUAUGAGGAAACAACAUGAACGAAAGUUAUAGGCAAAUGAAAGAGUUUUCCGAAUCAUAAAAAAUCAUCGAAAUCCGAAAUUAAAUGAAUUUAUUACAAAUAUUUACAAGAUCUCCAAUUUUUGUAAUUUAUUACACAAUUACAAAAAAGAUUUAAUAAUUUUGAAUUUUAUUGUUUUAAAAGGAUCUUUUCAUUAUCUACAACUUUCGUUGUUUAAGAUUUUACAAAAAAUAUCGUUUAGAGGGUCAAAAAAAUUAAAUGAAAUCUGCUUAAAUUUAAUCUUUUAAAAUUUCCCAAACUACCUCUGAGACUUUUAACCUUAACAGUCAAAUCUAACGGAAGAAGUGCAAAGUGACGCGCGAAACAAACCAGCGGGGUGCAAAGUGCGAUUAUGUAAAGUAUUGGCCAUAAAUGCUUUUUCGGAAAUCCAGGGGCGUGCAUUUUGCAAUAAACUCAUAUUUUUAGUAUGGGACGCAGAGUAAGUAUACCUUUGUAAGCCUUUAGUACAAAUUCUACGAGAACUACAACCCAAACAUUAUUAUACUUUUAAAUACAUUAAUCAUUGCAUUCUAAUCUUGAACUGAUAGGGUGUAUUAUUUAUGUAUAGGCAGACACAAUUGCACCUUUUAAUUCUUUAUUCUUCACUUGGCCAUUGAACAAAGAGGCCGUUGGUCAUAACAAUAGACUUUUAAGUUAACUAAAAAUCCAUUCAUAUUCUUAUUAGCUCUGAUGGACAAAGAUAGAGAGAAUUAUAUGAAUUCAGGUGUAUAAUAUAAUAUAAUGAUUGGAGACUUGAGCUUUAGUAGGCUAAAGAGGUUAACCACUUAGGCACGAAAAAGCUGCGUUGAAGUACAUAAAUGGAUUACACCUAUACAUCAUAAAGAACUCUAAAUAUGUAUAGCAUCUCCAAGAAUCUCCUAAUUGGCUCCUAAAUAUAAUAUAAACAAUGUAGCUGCUAGCAAGUUAGUACAUUAUUAAGAGUCAUCUCCAAAAAUGCUCUUUAUACUUACCUAUUUUUAUAUACUAUUCAUAUUUGAACUGAUAAAGAGAGCGGCUAUUAAUGGAUGUAUUGGAGGGAAUGAAUCCUUUAUUAAAAGGAGUUAGUUAAGAGCAAUGUCGAGGCUCUUAAAAUAGAGAAGAGAGAAGAAGUUCUUAAGUUUACGAAGAGCUUCUAAGAGUCUCUUGGAGCUCUAUUUGAACCAUUGCUCUUUUUUUCAACUUCAGAUCCCAUAUGGAGAGUCUCUUGGAAAUACUCUAACAUAAGCCUUUUAAUGAAGUGGUUAAUAAUUUCAGUGAAGAACAUUGCAAACAAAUGAUGAGUCAUAACCAUUUUUUGGAAACUGCAGUGGUAAUUGAAGAGUGGAAACAACCAACUAUGGACAGAGGCAGAAGUCUCCAAAGGGUAUAAAUUAAAUUCUUGUAAGUAGAAAAUAGAUACUAAAUUCGAAUUUGUAAUUUGACUUUGACAAGAUUGAAUAUUACCCUUUUGAUUGUAUAAUUGUAUAAUCAAUAAAUUAUUCAAUCUGAUAUUAACUCAAUUAAUAAACUUAAGUUUGCUUUAAAGUUUUAGAUUAGCUUAAAGUAACAAGUGACUUUUUUCAAGAUAAGCCAAAUGGGUUAGUCACUUAUGAAGGUCAGCCACAACAAAUUAUAACAAAGAUGCCUAGCAAUAAUAGUAAUAUUCAUGAUAUAUGUAUAAAAAAGAUGGUCACUAUAGACACCAAUUGAAGUUUGUUACGGUAAAUGGGACCAUAUAAUAAUAACAAUCGGUGCGAUCGAUGAUAUUCAAAACCAAAACAAAAAAAAUAUGCGUAUAAACAAAUGGAUGACAUGUAAUCUUACCAUUCAUAGCCAGAAGAACGAUGUACAGACAAUAAAGCUGGAGAGCUUUAGAUGCUUCACCAUCACUCCAUUUCUGACCAUAUAACAAUCUGAUGAGACAGUAAGAAAAGCUUGGUCCAAAUGCCAUAACUAUCAGACCUAUAAUGCAUUUCAUGUUGUCAUAACAAAUUAUAGGUAGAAGAGUGGAAAAAGUAUUAUAAUGACCUAAUCACAAAUAUUAUUUUGCUAUGACCAUACAAUUCAAGAAAGGAUUUCACAAUCCUAAGCAAUGAGAAAGGUGACUGAUUUUUAGUAUUCACUGAUCUCUCAAAGUACUGCUACACAUUACACUACUCUACAUGUGUUUCAAAAUACGAAUCAUCGCACCUCGACUUGGUAGUAACCAUACUGAUGCUUGGAUGAUAAUAAUAAGCCAAUUAAAAUACACAACUUCAACAGAUUCUCAUGCAAUGCCAUUGUUUAAACAAAUAUGUCAGUGCGUUGGUACAUUUUUCCUUCAGAAUAUUAACUUUUUAAUGUGACGAGAAUAAUCAGUAUUUACCUUUUUUAAUUAAAUAUUUCUUUUAAUAAAAAACUAUACUACAGAGUAAUACAUGAACCGGAACAUGCAAACUGAGAAAUCUUCAAUUGUGCAUAAAUAUAGGUCUAGACAUUAGUUCACAUGAUAGACAACUAGCCCUGCUCACCACACUAUACCCUUGUGCACUCUUAACCAAAUCUAUUGUAUAUGUCGUUGUUUGAUUCUAAGAGAAAUUACUUGUUAAUCAUUACUCCCUCUGUCCCUCUAGAUUCUUUACAGUUUCCUCUUUUGAAUGUCCCUCUCAUUUCUUUACAUUACAAAACUUUCCUAAAAUAGUUAAUGGGUCCCACAACUUUCCCACUUUUUCUUCCCUUUCACACUACUUUUACUCCACUAUCUCCCUUUUAUAUAUUAAAAAUCAAUGGGUCCCACCACUUCACCCACUUUUCUUUCUCUUUUCCACUACUUUAUACAUAUUUCUUAACCUCCGUGCCCAAACUCAAUGUAAACUAUUGAGGGGGACGGAGGGAGUAUGAUUUAUGAACAAGUGCAGCUAAAGACAGUCAGAUCUAGGGGAAAAUAAUAUAUAACUUGGAUGAUGACAAUAAAUUUCUACUGAGCUGACAUUAAUUUGAAAGGAAAAAAGUGUGAUAAAGGACAAUACUGAAAUGAGAUAUGCAAAAAAAUUAGAAACGCUUACCUAUCAAUAAAACGAGCUUCAGAGCAUCAAUAAGACAUUUUCCUAAUUUUGUUCUCUUCUGUGCAUGUUCUCCUAAAAUCAGAGAUAAAAAAAAGGGAGGUGAAGUUAGACCUCUCAUAGGAGGAGAAAGUAUUAUAUAUUACAGAUCAUGUAAAUUAACAAAUCGCAUCACAGAAAAAAACUAUAAAGGCAUUAGCCCUUUGGUAGGAAUUUUUUAGUUGUCGGAUUUUAUAGUUAAAACGCUUUAAUUGGGCGCGAUCCUGAAUCUUCAAACCUCUAACAUAGCAAUGAGUAGUGAUAAGAGAAUGAAUGAAACUGCAGAUCUAAAUAGAUGUUACUAAUGUUACUCAAAACUUGAAUACUUGAUUAUGGUAAAAAAAGAAGUGAAGAGAACUUACUUGUAGCCAAAAGAUUUACCCGCUGAGAAAACACUUUUUUUUUGUGAGUUACAAAUUCAGAAUACUAAGCGAUUCAAAAACAAUAACUUGCACGUUCAUGUUUAUAAAACAAAGUGACGUCUAAAAAAGAUACAACCCAGGGAACUUUUUCAGUUCUCUUACAAAAAACAGUGACGAGAUUCCAAAUUCGAGCUAUACAAUUUUGAAGCUUAUAACUCUUAGGUUUUGGUGAGUGCUUUGGCCUUUCACAAUACUGCUGAUAUCCACAGCAAAGCAAACUUAUUUUACUCUAUUACUGCAAUCAUCGCUUAAUAAGAACUGAGAUAAGCCACUGCAAGAAAUGACAAAACUAUGACACAGAGACACAAAAUUGAAUGAAUUCCUACUAUUGAAUAUCUAUUAUAUCUCAGGCAAGGCAACCUGUGAACCAUAUGGUUUUGCAUUUUUUAUCAUCCAUUACAAUAAACGUGUAAAGGAUAUCAAAAGAUGGAAGAGAGAGAGAUAAACAAUGCAUCAUAACCUUAAAGAUGUCUGAUCAAACAAAACUACAAAGAUGGAAAUAAACCUGCAGCAGACCUUGCAAAUGUAGUAUAUGAGCUUUCUUCAAAAGGGAGAAACACCAACCUCACCACUAAGCUUCCUGAAACAUGAACUCUGAUCUACUCAAGUUACACCCAUACAAAAUGUAAAUGCAAACUUUCAAACAUAGACUAGUCAUAUUGUCAAUUAAGGAGCAUAUUUCAAUUACAGUCCUGGCCAAGUACAAGACUUCUUAAAUAAGCUUCAACACAUAGAAGGUAAGACAAAGGACAAGCCAAUCAAUAAAUACCUAAUUUGUCCACAAGUCCAUACACAGCCUGGUUAUAUGGUGUAUCAAACCAUACAAGCACCAUCUUUUCUCCUUCCUGAAGUAUUAACUUGCGGAAGGAUUGAAAGGUAAACAACAUACACAUACUCGAGAGUUGCUUAUCAAGAUUUAACAUAGUUCCAAAUCUGCAAAUGCACCAUAACGUGAUUAACUACAAUAUGCUAGUAGUAGAAUAUAAGAAUAUGGUUGUUGCUAUCAUAACACUACUAAUGGAAAAAACAACAAGAAAGAAAAUCUUUAAGUGUCUGAAAGAAGUUUUGGUGAUGUCAAAUUCAAAUUCCUUUAUUCACUUUGGUUCAUAAACUUGAUGAAACCAAACAGAUAUGGUAUGCAAUAAUAACAUAAAAGCUAAAACACACUCAUAGCUAAUAAAUACAAGUAUGAAGAAAAACGAAUUAAUCGAUUUACUUCAGGAAGCAUGUUAUUUAUGUCAUCAUAGAUGUUGAUAACAAUAUGGCCCAUAGCUAAAGGCUGGUUAAUAACUGAACAUACUUUCACUUCAAGGAAUCCUAAAUAGCACCAUGAAGGAUACAUUCUAGCGCAUCAUAGUUAUAAUCUUGUAGACAUUUCAAGGUAUCAUGAGUAUCACAUUCUUGAAAGUAAUGAGCAUCAUCAACUUUCCAGUUGAGGGGGAAUAGCUAUAUAUGGUAAGCAACUACAGUUUAAAAAGCCAUAUGUUCAAAAUAGCUCUAGCAUUAUUAUCAGCUAGUACAUGAAGACUGAAGUAGGAUGAGUUAUCAUACUACUAUAAUACUGGCAAAAAAAUGCAUAAACAAUGCUCUUCAUAGAAACCAGAGAAAAAAACUUAACUGAAAAUAAUUUUAAUUUAAGUGGACCUCUUUCUCUUUUUUUUUUGCUGAAUAAUUCAAGUGUUUAUCAAGUCUUACAGCACAAUAUUAGUGAUUUCAGCUACAACAAAAAUAAUGAACACUUUGUGGUGACUCGUGAGACGGGGGAAUCAUUGGGCAUAUUUAUUGUCAUUUUGUCUGAUCAAGGGAGGCCGGUAUUUGUUGUCACAUAAGGUGAAAAUGCCCCAGAAUCUUAAAGCAGGAAAAACACCAGACUAUCUAGCUUAUAACAAAUACUUCUCUGUGCAAUAAUUACAAUCUUCAGUACUUCUGUGCAGCUUAUAACCAGUACGAGAUAAAUUAAAAUUCACUACUAGAAGGAUGAAUACAGUACAAACCGUACCUGAAAGGAAAAAGAUCUGAAAUUCUGUAUGCAUGCACCAAAAGGAAGUAUCCCCAAUAACCAAUGAACAUACAACCUCCAUAAGCAGUUUGAGCUAAUGCAAAUACAAUCGCUUUUUCCUGUAUGCCAACAAAAGAAUAAUACUAUGAGUUGCAAGUAUGAUCAAUUAUCUUAUCUAACUGAUACAAGACAAUAAACUGAUUUACUGUAAAGCUUUUUAACAGACUUCUAUUACUAUAAUGCUUGUACCAUAUUUGUGCUUUUGACUAUGAGCACAUAGGUUGUCACACAUCGCAAAAGGGUUGCUGCAGCUUCAACAAUCAACCUUAGCUUGAGGAGAAGCAAAUUCUGAGAGAGAAUAUACAGUGGCUCUGCCAAGAGUUCGAGCACACAAGCAAAACCUAAAGCAUGGAAAGAGAUGGUCUAAUUUAUUCACUAAAAUGCAAGUACAGUAUUUAGUAAAUGUAAUGUAUUCAUUUAACAGAAGAAUCCUAGACUCUGUACAUAGAUUCGAAGGAAAAAAAAAUCUUGUUCAUACCAGAGUCCAAGCUACAAGCUAUUACAAUAGACCCACUUAACUGGCAAUGACUUUUUACUACAAUUAUAUAUCCCAAUAUAUAUCAGCCCAACAAGUUAAAAAUUUAUAUUUCACAUUAAUUAAAUCAUGUGAAGUUCAACAGCAUACAGCGUUCAAUGUUUAUAAACAAAACGAACAGAAAGCUCUACAAGUGAAUCACAAGUACCACAUACCAUGAAUCAAGAUAGCUUGUGCAUAAGGAUUUGAAUAAUUUAAAUCUUGCCACCAGAAGAUUAAUAAACAUGCAGAAACUGAAAUAACUACUCCUAGUGGAAUAGUCAUCCAAGCUAGUUUUAGUAGUUUAGCUGCAUUUGCCCCUCCAGAUGUAUCAUCACUGUAAAAAAAAUUAAAAAAAAUCAAAUAUUUCAUGCAAAACAUCAGAUAAUGUGUCAGUUUUUAAGAAGAAAACUCAAUUGCUCACUCCUUCACAUGGGAGAUCUUUUGCACUAGACACUCUCUCGGAAAAGGCUACUAGAACGUUAUAAUUACGUAGCCAAUACUUGGUUAAUAUCAUGACAACACAAGUUACUUCCUGAUUCAUGUUCCAACACAUAAAUGAUAGAUUUACUAAAGCAAUAGGCAUAAAAAGAUAGUACUACUAAGCAGGAAUAAUAUUGAGGGCAAGAUAUGAGACAAUACCAUCUGAAGUCCGCCCUCAUGCAUGCUCUUCGAAAACCCUCGCGACUAAGGAACAAGACACAAGUGACAAAUAGGUGAAAUUGGACAGCAUACAACUGCAUUGUGUAAAUAAUAAGAUAUAAGAAAUAAUGGAUGAAUAGCUGAACAAAGUAUGUACCGAAAUAUAAGAAUAUAUAGUUAGUGUGUUGUCUGAAAUUUGACAUGUGUGUCACAUGCAUUGUUAUCAAGUCGACGACUAGUCGUCGACUAGUCGACGACUAGUCGACAAGUCAUUUUAUAGAAAAAGUCAAGCAACGACUUAUUUAGUCUGGCGACUUAUUUUCAACAUAUAAGUGUCUCCCUAAUCUUUGUAUCAUUUCAACUUCACAUUAUUAUUUCCUUCAUGUCACUACUUUUUGGCUUCAGGCUAUGUAAUCUUUGUAUCAUUUUCAACAUAUAAGUAUAUCCCUAAUCUUUGUAUCAUUUCAACUUCACAUUAUUAUUUCGUUCCUAUCACUACUUUCUGGCUUCAAUUUAUAUGUGAACUAACAAUCUGCUACAUCGUAUACAUCUGUUGCUUAUUAUCUUUUACUUUUGAUUCAAACUAUAUACUGAUGUGCGUUCAACUAUAUUUUAUAUAUUAAAUCUAGUAAAAAUAUGUAUAAGAAUGACUUGUCGACUUUUUACGACUAGUCGGGCGACUUGUCGACUAGUCGAUUCCAAGGUAUCCGGGCGUCGAGGCUCGACUUGGCGCCGUAAUAACCUUGGUCACAUGGCUCCCAUUGACGCUAAAAUAUAGUUCAUAUGGCUCAAAUAUACACUAAAAAUAUAUUUAACAGAGGAAAAAAUAGCAUUAAGAUGAAAAACAUGAUCAAGUUUAUGUUUGCAUCAGUUCAUGACAGCAUCUAUCAUCAUAAAAUUACUUGAAUCAUCUGUUGGUUACCAAAUAGGUCAUGCUGGAUAGUAUUCGAUGGGACAAUGUUUUGAACAACAAUAAACAAACUCUAAAUCUAAUUUAAGAAUCAAGUCGCUUGCAUAAUUACAUUCUAGUAUCUCAUGUUUCUUUAAAUUGAAGAUAUAUUAGCAUUGCAAAUAGAGUAGUAAUUAGCAAGAAUAAAAUAUUUAUAAGGCAUAAUAAUCUGACUAAUAACUUAACCAAUAAUAUUACAUAAGCUUCUUGAAGAAAUAUAGAAUAUGAAGUACUGAUAACAAUAUAAGCGCAAAUGAGAACUUCAAAUUAAAGAUUAUUCAUGCAUACAGCAUAGUCUUCUUCAGUGAGGUGCCGGACAAUCCAUGUAUUGAAUAUGAAAGGAAUCCCUCUAGCCAGAAACUGUGUAGCUACACCAGAUGAAUAUAAUAAUUGGAGGGUUUACACGGAAAAAAGGAAUAUGUAAAUAAAGAAGAAAGUAAAAGGAUGUACGUACCCAUUAAAUACUUGAAAGUGCGAGGCAGAUCAGCAGUAUGGUCUUCAUCUUCUGGGAUUACCGUAGAAGAAACAGAUGAACUCUCCUUUUCAGACAUUUUUAUUGAACUGUUACAAGAAAAUACCUAUCCAACUUAUUUCAGUUCAAAAUUAUACACUGGAUUCAAAGGUUCUGUUGAACGCAACUAAGAAACCCAAGAUAUAAAAGAGGAAUUCAAAAGAAAACCUAUAAGAUUUCUACUGAAUAAUUUAUUUAUAUCUGAGCACUCACUGUUUUUUAUUGAAAGCCCACAUAAUGUGACUGAAAAAUUAGUGCCCGGCUAUCUUCAUCUCAGAUACUACCUCAAUAACUCAUUGGGCUUGGAUUAAGAGCAGGCUUGAGUUUUAUUUAACAGGCUUUAUACUUAGAGAAAAGAAAUCUUAUCAAGGGUUUAAGGAUCUUUAUGCAUCAUUUCUCCUUAUUUUUAAUAUAAAAUUCCGUUUCAAAUUUCCUAUACUUAACAAUAAUUAAUAAGAUAUUUCUUCUUAUCAAUUAUUUUGAGUAUCAAUGUAGUAAAGAAUACACAAAGGUCAUACAAGACUGCAAAGUCAAGUUGUAUUGUAUGUCACUGUGCAGUUAAGAACAAACAUCGGUGACUAGUAUUGCGGAUGCCCUGUUUUCGUUGUAGAUAAAGUAAGUUGGUUGCUACUUAACUACAAUCAACUCUAUACAUUAUAAGGUUUCUUAAAAUAACUUUUAGCACCUUCUUAAAAGUUUAAGUUCUGCUCUUACUAAAAUUCGUUAACUAGAAGUUUUGUUUACACUUUCGACAUUAGCAAUAUAACAUGAUUCCAAUUCGGUAAAAAGUAAUUAAUUACUAAGUCUUAUACAACCUAAAUGCGCCUAGGGCACAAUAUUUUGACAAUAACAAUGAUAAUCACAGCUCAAAAAACAUAUAUGAUUUGCUUUAAAAUCUGAAAGUGUAUAUGCAGUUAUCUCAAGCAAAAUCAAAAAGAGCUGAAAGACUUACUACGACUGUGAAGGAGGUUACGAUUGCAAGUAAUUCAUAAAACAGAGUGAUCUGCAAUUGAUUGAGAAUCAAAAACUCUUGAAAGCUCGAAAAUGGAUUUUUCUUUAACACAAUUCAACCCAAGAAACACAUAGGCUACUUGCAGUCAUGAAUCGCCACUCACACUGUAGUGCCACGAAAACAAUAAAUUCAAUUUAAUUGAACUAGACAGAUGUAAAUCCCACCAUUAAUUUAUACAUACAAGGAGCCAUUUGCUAAGAUAGUUUACUUAAAAACUAAUCAAACAACAACUAUGAAGUCAAAGAAAAUACAUAAAAGUUACAAACCCAAAGAACCAGUUCUCUUCCUUCAAUUUUUAUAUUAGCAAAAGAAACUAAAGCUAGCAUAGAACAAAACAGUAAUUUUUCUCUAAGCAUUCCUAAAAUUUCUUUAUUAUAAAACAGAAAAUAGCACUAACUAAGAGAAUAGUGCUAAGUAUAUUUAGUCUCUGUAUAGUGCUACAGCUUAAGGCCUCAACUUCAUUUUGGCUGUGGAAUAUUGUGAUAAGUCUUACCUUCACAGUGAACAAAAACAAAUGUAAACAGAUACUACUUUUGAGCCAGGGAAUAAUCAAUCUCUGAACUGUAUAAGACUUUAAAUGUAGUCUCUGACAGAGACUACAUUUAAUACUACCUUGUUGGUUCACUUAAAAAGAUGCUAUAUAUUUAUAUAUAGCAGAAACUGGAGUAGUCGAGUAGCAAAAAUGUUUAUCCGUGACAAUACUAUCAUCAUUGUCAUUCCAGCGAUAAAAAUGUGAAAUAAAGCAAAUCCCCGACAACUUACAAUAUAAUUUAAUUGUUCAAAAAACAAUUAAGGCUAUUUCCGUGUCAAUUAGAGUAUAGUUGCUAGGUCGCAGUUUAUAUACUCUUUAUUAUGCACAUCGUAGGGCUGCCAAAUUCAAUGAUUUUCUUAACAAUUUUGAAAUCAGAUAAACGGGGUUGCUUACUUGCAUUGUAUUAGUUAAGAUACAGAGACCAGAGAUGCACCUCUGAGAAAGAAAAAAAAAAUGCCAACAACACCACAAACAUCAACAGGGAUGAGAUAACCUAAUUUUCUUACCAAUUUAACAAGCUAAUGAUUUUAUGACCAAUUUUGGAAUUAGGGUUUUGUAAUUGAAAGAGGAUUAAAAGAGCAUUGGAGGAUUUUUUUUACCAAACUUGGUCGAGGACGAGGAAAGAGAGAGAGAGAGAGAGAGAGAGAGAGAGAGAGAGAGAGAGAGAGGCUUGUGGUCGUGGGCGUGGACUCGUGGUGGUGAAGUCGUGGUAGUCGGAUUGAGCACUUGGGCUGAGAGAGAUGUAAAGAGUAUAUAUAAGUUUGGGUAUUGAUAGAGUCGUUGAUUUGGGGAGCGGGGAAGUGGGAACUGAGAUAUGAGAGGGUGAGGGUGUUCCCGGAUCAAUCACCUUUUCAGAGAUCAGUGCACAACGGUAGAUAGUGCUGCAUCUUCCUUCUCAGGCUUCUCAACACAAUACAGUACUCUAUUUAGUAAAAAAAAAAAACAUGCUACAGAACUCGGUCCAUUACGCAUAAUAAUGAGUGUUCUAAAAUUCCCGAUUUAACCGAUAAAUCCCCUCUGCAAGGUCGGUCACCGGUCCGAUUUUUGAAAUCGGAUUAAUCCUUAUAUAUAUUUCAUAAUCGAAUUAUAUGUGAUAAAUUAUUAAAAUUAAAAUACUAUAUUACUUUAAAUAUGAAUAAUUAUAGAGUUUAUGAAUAUAGUAAAUAUAUUAGUUACUAAAUAGCUAAUAUAAUAAUAACUAAAUAUUAAAUAAUAUUUUAGUAUUAAAAUAAACCCGAUUUUAACUCCGAUUAAUCUUUCCGAUUAAUCCCCGAUUUCCGAUUAAUCUUCGAAUCAGUAGCUCAACCGAUUAGGUCCGAUUCCCGAUUUCUGUAACACUGUAUAAUAAUAGUAGUUUUUACGUGCCUCUUUGAGUGUUUCAUAAAUAUAGUUUUAUAAUAUUUUUUCUUAAUAAAUAUUUGAUAUUUAAACUCUUUUUAGAGAAAAUUAAAAAAUAUUAUGAAAUUAUAUUUUAUAAAAAUCUCAAAAUGCGUGUAAAAAUCAUAUGUUGAGACGGAGGGAGUAAAUAUUAUUUCAUUUAAUAUAUUAAACGUUAUAAUCUUAUAAUAUUUUCUACUCCCUCCGUCCCACCAGAUUCUUUACAGUUUCCUUUUUAAACCGUCCCACUCAUUUCUUUACAUUACAAAACUUUCCUAAAAUAGUUAAUGGGUCCCACCACUUUUCCACUUUUUCUUCCUUUUCACAUUACUUUUAUUCCACUAUCUCUCUUUUAUAUAUUAAGAAUCAAUGGGUACCACUAUUUCACUCACUUUUCUUUCUCUUUUCCACUACUUUAUAUCUAUUUCUUAACCUCCGUGCCCAAACCCAAUGUAAAGAAUUGGGUGGGACGGAGGGAGUAAUAAUUUUAAGACAUAAACGUGAUAUGAUAUAAAUUUUAUUUAAAAAUCAAAAUGAUGAAUUGUGUUAUAAUUCUAACUUGUUAUGAAGAGAAAAAUAUUAUUUUAAUCAUGAUAAGAGAUGAAGAUAAAGUUGAAUUGCUACAAAUCUUGGGCUGUAAUAAAGAGAAACUAUUAUUUUAAUAUGAUAAGAGAUAAAGAUAAAAUUGAAUUUCUAUAUAUCUUCAAUACUUCGACAAAUAUAGUUCAUAUCAGGAUCUUCACUAAAAUUUUAGCUAGGAAAAAAAUGUCCUAUUAGAAUUUGAUUAUUAUUUUUACAUACUUUAUAUUAUAAGAUUUUUUUUUUUUUUACUCUGAUAUUCUUAUUCAGGAAUACUAUAUUGUACUGUGAGAUACUCAAAUAUAUUCUUAUUUUGUCAAGCCCUUUUUAAUGAAAAUAUAUGAUGGCAUAUAAAUGAUCAGAUAUUAUGCAUCAUAGAUUUGUUAAAACCGAAUGAUUUCUAUGAUCACGCUUAACUUCUUCAAAUUUAAGGUUUACACUAUCAAUAGGACAGAAAAAUGAUAAAUAUAUCAAAUAAUAGAAUCUGAUAAGAGCAUCUCCAGCAGCUUAGCUAUAUGAUGUCCUAAGCUGUUAUUAUAAGGAAUAUCACAUAAAACACAACUCCAGCAGAGUCCUAGCCAUCCCUUAAAAUGUUAGGAUGCCCACUUCAUUCCUGGAUUGUGGAACCAUUCCUCAUACUAUUUUGAAUAAUAAAAUAUUCACUUCUCUCCUUUUCCCCCCUCUUUCCUUCCUUUCUCUCUCCAACCUACAAGUUAAAUAUAAUAUUAUAAUAAUAAUAGGGAAUAGAAAUAGGGAAUGUUGUUGGAGUUCCCAUUCAAUAAAAUGUAGUAAUCCCUUAAAAAUUGAAUAUUUUAUUAUAUAUUUAGGGAACAUGUUAGGACUCUGCUGGAGAUGCUCUAAAGUUGCUCUAUUUCACUCUCACCGAACACCAUCAACUGUGUCAUUCUGUGUUAACUUGCUAGGCACAAACUUAUUUUACCCCUGCGGACUAAGGUUAUGGAUAAAUUAUACAAGGUCCUUGCUAUAUGAUAUGCACUCUGACAUUUCUGAUUACCUCCAAACAUUUAAGCAUACUUCAAAGGGCUUAUAAUCUUCUGAAUUACCUCCAAACAAUUAAGCGAAGUCUUAAAAUCCUGAAUCAAAGGCAAUAUUAAUUUGUCCAUCAUAAUCUGUUCUAUGCUACUGAUUCAUUUGAUACAGUGACAAAACGAAUGGGCAGGCAAACUACCGUUUCAACUUUCCACACAAUUGUACCAUAAAAAGACAUUAUCUGCUAACAAGUAACACAUAGUAUGGAGUACUUCCAUAUUAGAGCUGUAGGUCUGCAUAAUGACAAGUCGUAAAGGAUAUACUAUAUAGACUUCAGUUCAUACUAUCAAAUCUUAUAGACAGCACCUAACAACUAUAAAGAACAUAAGCUAGAAAAUAGUGAUAGCCGUAAUUCAUUCAGCCACGAGUGGAAUUAGCAGCAGAAAGAGGCAUACGAUGUCCAGCAGCACUUGACAAACACAAGGUGGAAGAGGUACAUUCCCUUUUCCCUUGUUGACUGGUUUCCCCUGCAUUAACUGUGCAUUCCGCAACAAAAGCACUCAUAUUGCUGCAUCGGCUGCUCCCAAUGCACUCCCAAGCAGAAGCAGUCUCCCUCUUCACCGUUGAUGGCAGAAACUGAAUAAAUUUUACACACAUGUCGAAACAUUCUGUAUUUAUUUUCCCAUAUGUAUGACAAAAUAGUAAAAAACCAAUUCAAUGCAAAAAGUUCAGGGACUUGAUAUCUUUAUUGAUGUAGAUAGUUAUACUCACAUGUCGUUUGGUAGCAGCUGUUGAAAAAGCUCCAUCAGUGUCAGGAAUGUCAUUGAGGUUUAUAAGAGAGGUGUUACUCUUGCUUUUAGGGGAGGCAACAAUGGCGGUAGAGGAGUAACCAUGGUUGUCAAUUUGUUGAUCAUUUGUCCGAGCAGUUUUAACAGUGACUGUUACAGCACGCCUCUCCGGCACAGGCCGGAUGGGGGAGGUUGGUGGGUGGUGGUGGUGGUAGGGCAGCUGAGGUGGAGCUAAAGCAGUGGAGGAUGAAACUGAUGGUGGUGUAUGGACCAUAAAGAGAUCCUCAACUUCAAACACAAGUGGAGAGGACCCAUUGCUGGCACCCAUGUUUGGCCAAAGGAAUGUACCCUGGGGUUUGCAGAUUCUGAAUCCGCUUUUCAGCUUCUGUAGUUUUGCUGCCUUUUCCUCUGCAGCUGUCUUUUCUCCAGUAGAUGCACUCUCUUUUAAUGCCAGUGCAUGGCAUCUUUCCAAAGCUGCAUGGUUCCUCUCUUUUUCAGCACAACAGUCUGUUGUCUUUGAAGCAAGCUCCACCAUAGAACUUAAUGUCCCCAUCUGAUCCUGGAUCCAUGCACAUACAUAUACUAAGAUAAUCCCAUUUGAGUAUCAACAAUUCAAGAGUUCAUAUCAUAAUGGUAAUUUAUGGAAUUUGAUUAUGCAGCAUGUACUUCAGAGUCUUUUGGAAUGUAAACAGAAUGAAAAGGAAAGAGAUUUCCAUGCACCGGCUUUUAGAGUCUUUGAGAUAAUAGAUGAUAUUAAGUACCUUCAUUCCCGUAAUAGUAUCCGAAAUAUCAGUCAAUUGUUUUUCCUGCUUGUUCUGCAAAAGACGAGGGAUAUAAGACAAAGCUAAUAACUAAAAAACUGAUUUGCAUCUAUUAGGUCAUAACUGAUCUGACAUUACUAGUCACAUAUAUACCACUUGGACUAGUGCAGACUCAAAGUCAGAUUUCCAAGGAGCCGAACUUUGAACUUGUAAAGACCAGAUUUCCUCUUGAAUUUUCUUGGUAAAUUGUUCAUCCAUUUCUCUGGUAAUUCACAAAAACUAGUGUUUGAGGACCCAAUUAAUAGUAAAUAUGACGCCUUUCAGAUUGUUAUACAAUGAGCACAAGUUGUUUUUAUUUUUUUGGUUGCUUUACCUUCUGACUUUUUUCAGCUCUUCCUUAAAAUUGGACACUAUGUCCUCCAUAUCUCUGUCAUCAAAGAUCAAUUAGACCAGACAGAAUAAGUCUUGAACACUAAUAUGCCAGUCAGUAUUAUCUUCUAUUCCUAUGUACCUCUUUAUUUUGGCAUUUUCUUCCUUGAGUAACCUUAAUUCCUUGGCACAAAGAGGAUCUUGAGAAGGACAAUCUCCAGGAGUCCAACCAGGUGGUGGAGUCCAAUAGGGAUCCUGCACCCCAGCUUCCUUCCUGACUUUAACAAGAUCAGCACUCUCCAACCAAUACUCCAUUUGACCAUCUGCAUUGUGUCGUCUUCGGAAGCGCUCGACUCCACCUGGUGCAAGUUUACCCGCCACAUGCUUGAGGAGAUGAUCUAACAGCCCUGUAUCACCUAUUCUCUUUCUUGCCUCCAAUCUCAGAUCAGGUCUCAGAAUUGGGCUUUUAAAGAGUGCCCCCUUUGAUUUCAUCACUUCCAAAAGAUUUUUCUCAGCUAGCUUGUACCUAGUUAACAAAUGAAGACCAGUUUUAAAAAAUGAGUAAAUUUAUGUAACCAGUACCUAAUUUAUAACAAAACAGCACUUUACCUUUCUGCAGACCAUCGAUUUAUGGAGCUUCCAACUAUCAUCUUUUUGCACUUAUUCCUCCUGGACUUCUUAUUGCUCUGUGUUUCACGUUUUACCUUCUUUGCUUUUCUUGUAUUCUCUCUCAAGCAAUAUGGUUUUCUUUUAACAGCUUUCUUAUCAUCCUCAUCUGUGUACUCUCUUUCUUCUUCACCAUCUUCAUUGUCUUCAUCAUCAUUUUCAUCUUUAUUGUCUUCAUCAGAUUCAUGCUCCAGUUUCUCUUUUGAUCCUUUAACAAAGCUUGUUGAAGACUGUGGGUGGCUGGUGCUGCUGUCUCCUUGCCUGUUAAUAAACUUGACUUGACGUCGAAUACCCCACCGAACCAUCCCAUUACUCUUCAGUUGAGACAUUAAAGGGGUGGUUGUUUCUUUAUUGAAAAUCCCACGCAGUGCAGCAGGUUCAGGAGAGUUUUUAAUCAGCCAGAACCCCUCGAAGUAAUUGUUAUCAUCAAAUUCUUGAGCUGAUAUCUGACGGCUAAGUACUUUUCCAGCUAGGUGUGUUCCCAUUACAAAUACCUCAUCCAAAAAAGGGUAAAUAUCAGUGCUGCUCAUCUUGUUGAGGCUGAGAUAGUUGCAAAGAGACCUAAUGCUUGGAUACCUCACAGAAACAUUUAACUCUGUCUUUUCAGUCACCUAUAGCCACAAAAUUACAAGAAAUAAAGAGAAAGAAUGCAACAAAUAGUCAGUAACAUGGAAACGAAUAUAAAAUCAAGAAUGUCACCUAUCUAGCUAUCUAUCUAGCUGUCUAUCUAUCUAUCUAUCUAUCUCUCUCUCUCUCUCCCCAUAUAUAUAUAUAUAUAUAUAUAUAUAUAUAUAUAUAUUAUCACACAGGUUUGAAAUGUAACAUAUUACCAUCACAACACGAAUGGAUUUCAGUUGGACAGGGGUUCUGGUGGGAAGGUUCAGAUGAUCAACCUCAUAAACACAACCAACCUCAAAAUGCUUUUCUCCAAUACCUUGAUCUUCUGUUUGGCAGAAAAAAGUAAUUUAUCACUCAUGAUAUUUACCCUUUUGCUAAAACCAGGGAAAAGGACAAAUGAAACAAAUAGAAAACGAAAAUGACAUAAUUAUAUAGUUUAUAGCAAUUGGUUAUCAAGAACUAUAGAGGUCCAUACCAUUGGUUUGCAGGAGUUGUCUCCUCAAAGUUGGUGACUGCGAGCUGUCGAGAAAAGUGUGGGCUUCUUGCCUUUUCAUCAUUUGCUGAAAAACACAAUACAGAAGUCACUCUUCCAUGGUUCUAUACCUAUUCACCAGAAUAACAGCAAGAAGUAUAUACUAUAUCUGUAUUUGUGGGUGCAUAUAGAAUCCUUUUGUAUGUAUGUGUGACACACAUAACACAGAUGAAUAACCCUAUGAUCAAUGAUGUAAGCCCUUUUUUAUUUCUCACCCUCUAUUCGAAUAUAAUGUCAGAAUUAUGCCCAUCAAGGCAUAUCUUCCCCAUUAUUUUCGCUGUCAUCUCUGGCAAUGAGAGCAUCAUGAUCUUUGUCACAGUUUCAUACACCAUCAAGCAUUGCUAGUUUCUUCAAGAAACAAGCAUCAUAACUCAUGAGGCUUAAGUCCAUUCCGUAACAAGGGAGUUCGUGAGAACAUUUUCCAUGAAUCACAUAGAAUUCAUAAGAAUCCCAUGGAUCACAUAAAAUGAUAAAAUUCAUAAGAAUUUGUUUAAACCUCAAAGCAACUUGUUCCUGAUAAUUAACCCCAUUCCUCAAAACCAAGCUAGUCACCAAUAUCUAUUUGAAUCCAAAUCAAUCACUUUCCAAUUAAUAACAGAUAUCACAAGUGCUUUUGAACAGUCCAAUGUAAGGGCUUCUUCUAACAUAUCAUGAGUUAAAUCUUACACUCAAACAACACAUACAUAUCUUCAUUAAACUUUUAGUAGGAAAGCAAGAACACAAAACAUCAUCAAGUAAUUUCAAGAGUUCAGGCAAUUUAUCAAACACCCCGCAUCCCCCAACCAGACAGCACCAACAUAGACAAUUGAAUAUCUCCAUAGACCAUAAGCUAGACUCAGUAUGUUUUCAGACAUAUUUCGAGAAAUAAGAUGACCCUGUGACUUUUCUUUGUUUAGAAGGGAAGAGUUGAAACUUGAAAAAGGAGAUUAAAAGGAAAAAUUUAUGAUGCAAAGCCAGAAGAUAUAAGAGAAUAAGAUUCGGACAUUGAGAAACAAACAUCACACAUGUUUUGAUUGUGGUCAUUUACAGAAAAAUUGAAGAUAAAUCUGGGUGAUUAGUGUUAAGUGUGGGGGAGUUAGGGUUAAUCAAUGCUAAGUUGAAAAUGGGAAAUUGGGAAUGAGUAAAAAAUAGCACGACGACAACUAGUUAAAACUUAAAAGGUCUAUUUUACCCGUCUUCGUUUCUCUCUUUAUUUAUUAUUUAUCCAAUAAUUAUUCAUUUAUAGAUAGAUUAAUACACACAUGUAUACAUGCAUAUACUUCACUGCAAGUCUGCAACAUGAUCAUGGAUUCAUAAUAUCAGCAUUGUUCCCGGCUCAUGAUGAUAAACUAUAGCUUUACUAAAAUUAUAGUAAUCAAUAACAGCGCGUGUUAUGACACGUGAAAAAACCUGACGGGGACAUAUAGAAUCAUAGAUGGAGAAGUGGCGCGUGAGACAGUGACCCCGUAUAAGACAAACGACUGAAAUUAUAACAGAAAAGGUAUUCAUGUAACCUAUCAGGCUAUCACCCCAUGUCCCCAUGCGCCCACAUUUCAAAAUUCAGAGAAUCAAAGUAAUGGAGAUAGAAUUUGGGAAUAUAUGUACGUACUUAACCACUGGAGAGAGAGAGAGAGAGAGAGUGGGGCUUACAUUGUUAUUGCUUUCACUGCAGGGAGCACUUCUGAGUCUUCGCCUGUGGUACGUUUCCAUGCUAAGAAAACCCUGCAUAUAUAGAACCAACCAAAAUGAAAACAAAAAAAUUUACCAUCGCGUUAAAAUGUUUAUAUUGUAGGUGUAGAAUGUAUAUAUGUGUACCUAAAAGCAAACACUGGAAAACGCAGAAAAAGCAGCAGCAAAGUUAGGGUUUGUAAGAGAAGAAAACAAAUUGCAGGCAGAGUUGGUAGUCAAUAACAUUAAUGUAUCUCCAGAACAAGCAGAAUAACAGGCUAUAUAUAUACAAACACAACAUAUCCUACGCAGAAACCAAAUCUCUGCUAAAGACUGCAUCAAUUUGAAAAAAAUUGACCAAUACUAAUAUGGAAAAAACAAGCAGUAAAAUAAAAAAAUGCUUGAAAAGCUUCAGACUAAGAAACUCUUGAGUCUUGUAAAACAAAAACUCCUGUUUAAUCAAUGCUUGCGUGCCUUAAGAGCACUUUCAUCAAUCAGAAUCACAGUACCAAAAUUGAAGAAUUAUCCUGUUCUUUUUCACAUGAAAAAUCAGCGAAAAUAAGCAAACUCAUCGCACACAGUGUUCAUGUCACACACAUCCAAGAAAAAACACUUACACAGAAACACACGCAUACAGAUUCUCAGAUCAAGAUCAAAACAUAUCAAAUAUACAACUCAUCAAGUAGAGAUUGAUCAGAUGAAAAUUCAUGUGUGGACUCAAGUAAUCGAAAGCGUAAAUUCACUAAAGUAUAGCACUACUACACGCAAGUGCACUCGCAGAGAUGGACAAAACCCAACCUGUAAUAUCAAAAAAUAGCGAAAUCUAGGCGAUUGAAGCCCUAAAAAGUAAAACACACAAAAAAUCUCAGAAACACAAGCGAGAUAACUGUAUGCUACUCUACAUGUUGAUAAACAACACUCCACAAGCAGAUUUUUAGAGAGAGAAGCAGCGGCUUCACAGAAUAAACAACAACGCACACAUUCACACACUGAAACACACACACACGCAUACGAGAUCGUAGAAUCACCAACAAAAACAACAAAUCGCAACUAAAAUCGAAGUUUAUCAGGUAAUAUAUACACAUACAUAUAUGGCACUGAAUCUGAUCGAAGCAUAAAAACUACAUACAAGUUACAACACGAGAAUGCACAUAUGUAUAAACUAAAAGCGAGCUGAGUAGAAGAUUCUAGAGAGAGGAAGGGCACCUCUGGUGAAUAUAGAAAUGUGUGUGUGUGUGUGUGUGUUUCUUUGUGUAUAUACACACAGAAACGUAAUGGCCGCCUAGAUUGAGAGGGGGGGNNNNNNNNNNNNNGGGGGGGGGGGGGGGGGGGGGGGGAGGGGUGCAAGUGAAAAUGUGUGUUUGUGUGUGUGUCAGGGUGGUGGUGAAAAGAAAUGGUGGUGAAAGUGAAAUGUAAACAGUUGUGCUCCCAACGCAUAUACACACACAUGUGCAUUUAUAGAUCCACAAAGUUUGUUAAUUUGUGAGUAACUUUUUACUAUUAUUUUUAAUUUAAUCGGAUUAGGUUGUAAAUUAUUAUCAUUUUACAUAUUUACCUGUUGACAUACAUAAUAAAAAAGAAUCUAUUUCCCGAAUAAGAAUAACAGGGUGACUAGCUUUUUACUUUUUUUUUUUAAUAUAAUCAACUGAAUCGGUCAUCGUAAAUUAUUGUCUUGAAGUAUUUUACAUAUUUACUGGUUGAUAUACAUAUUCAAAAAAAUCUAUUCUCCGAAUAAUAGGGUGAGUAGCUUUUUACUAAUCUUUUUAAUUUAAUCAACUGAUUUGACUGUAAAUUAUUGUCUUGUAGUAUUUAUAUAUUUUCUGGUUGACAUACAUAAUCGAAAAGAAUCUAUCAUCCGAAUAAUAGGAAAAUACGUAAUAAAUUUAAAAUGAUCAACCGGAUGAUAUAUAUUGUACACUGUUAAGUAUUUUCUACAUCCAGGUUUUGAUGAAAUUGUUUGUCAAAAAUAAAUAAAAUUUCUUUGUGAAAUUGUGAAGAUAACAGAAUACUUAAUAUGGGCCUAGGUUGGAUCAUGAUAGCUUAAAAAAAAGGCCCAACUAAUCAUCAACAGGAUCUUCAUUUUUAAAAGAAAAUUAAAAAAAACAAGAGCGCUUACAAAAUUACAAACAUUACUGAUUCCAAACCAAAGGAAAAAUCAUGAUCGAUUGUGUUGCAGCUGCACUUAGAAUUAAUAUAUAUGAGUGUGAUUGAAUAGGAGUGGAUUUAUCCCUGUUAUUUCCAGAUAUUCGGAUUAAACUCUCAUACAAUCCAAAUAUAAAUAUUAAAAAAUAUUAGAACAUAUUGGGGUCAAGAAUACAAAAAUAUAAGUAGAUCGAAAAGUGUACUUUUUGCUGCCAACUGAUAGUAGAUUACUACCGGAGCACAUUGGUUCAGUGGCAUUGCAGCGCGGCAAAAUCAUUUGUUUCUUUUAUGACAGGAAAAACAAAGAGCAUCAGUAGACACAGUAUGAGCAGACUCUGGCUCAAGUGCUUGUCUAUUUUAAAGAUCUUCAUACUACAGUAUGUAGUAUGUACCUUCUAAUCCAUUAACUUAAAGCUUUCACAAUUCUGUCCAUUCGCAUAUAUUUUGUAGCACUUCGAAUUUCACCAACUGAAGGUUCAUCCUUUCAGGGGUACAGAGAAAAUACAUGUCAAUCUGACUUAUUGGAGUAGAGAUACAUGGAACUCAUGUUAAAUAUGGGCCGAAAUCCAGAAUCGAUGGACAUUGGAAAAUUUUAACCAAGUUUAGACCUAACAGAAACCACCUGGAAUUUGUUUAUACAAAAGGCACAAUUAAGAAAGUGCAUUACACACCAGAACAAACAUUAAUACACAAUCUAUGGAUGCGGUCGGAUAUUACUGGACCAGCUCUGGAACUUUCGAGCAUGCUGCUAAGCUCCAUCUGGUAUCAGCACAACAGAGCCUGAUGUUUUCCUAUUCUCAAGAUCAGCCUGUGCUUGCGCUGCCUCAGAUAAGGGAUAAGUGUGGUUUACACGAACCUUUAGGACACCUGAUGCAACAUUGGCAAACACUUCCCCGGCAGCUUCCAGCAGUUCAUCACGUGUUAUUGUGUAAUUGAAGAGAGAUGGCCUUGUCAGAAAAAGGGAUUUUGGAGCAAGAGCAGACAAAGGCAAUGGAUCAGGGGAACCAGAAGACUGUCCAAAGCUCACCAGGUAGCCCCGUGUUUUUAAGCAUGCCAAUGACCCCUGAGCACAAUAAUUUAACAUUUUUACUAUUAAAAGUUGAAAGUGUAAGUUGGUCAGUUUUCAUUAACUUGGAAUAGAGAAAAAAAUAAAAUUCAAAUUUCAAUUCAACUGUAAGACAGAAUAUGACAACAUGUGCAUGCCUAGGUUGGUAUGGUCAUCAACCUGAUGCUCAUCCAAUGCAAAUAACAAUAGCCACAAUUUCAGCUCUGAUUAUUUAGCACAACUGGUAUAGUGGUAUUGCAGCUUCCUUUUGGCAGUAGAUACGAUUAAAGGUUAAAAAUCAAUUACCUCAAAUGUGUCCUUUCCAACAGAAUCAUAGACAACUUCAACACCUUUCCCUGAAGUUAUCUCUUUCACACGGGUAACGACAUCUUCUUCUUUAUAGAGUAUGGUAUGGUGACAUCCAUCAUCUCUAGCCUGUGCUGCUUUCUCUGUUGUAGAGACGGUUCCAAUAACAGUAGCACCUAGCGCAUUUGCCCACUGGCACAGAAGAGAUCCUACACCACCUGCUGCAGCAUGAACAAGAAUUGUGUGUCCAGGUUCAACCUAUAAUACAAGCUAAUAUGAGUCUCAUGCCAAGAAACACCAUAAUACUAUCAAAAGGAACACCACACGAAAUAUGCAAGCAAUGAUUUAACUUCUUAUGUCAGACCAGUGAUAUUUGAGGUGAAAGGCACAUCACGGCCUAAGAACCUCCUGAACCCAGGCAGAGAGUACUAACGUGAGGUGCAAGAUUGACAAGUUUUUAAAUGCACAGAACUAUAAUCCUGAACUCAAUAAAUGUCAAAUCAGACAUAUAAAACUGUUACCUAUGAACCAAAUGCAACUUAACUAAAUAACACAGAUACAUACAUAUUUGUAAAGUUAAGGUAUUAAACUAGGUUGCUGACCAAUAUAAGGGUCAGGUUAUACAUGCAAAUAUGGAGGAUCUUAACAUUCAGUCUCGUUACAUGGCAAAUGGCUAUAUGACCCAUGAUCUUGUAGUUUUCAUAUAUCCCUUGCUCUUUUCUAUUUAAACAAAAGUAUCUUACUACAAGUUUCUAUUGAAAUGUAGAGUCAAUAGGGUGUAUCAAAUUUUGGAAUUCACGUGCACGAACAGUUUUAUCAACUAAAGUAUAAACGAAUGGAGUGUUGGAUUGUGACAGAGAUCACAAAUGAAACCUCAUGCAAUUUGUCAAAUCCUCACAUGGUACUAAACUGUCAACUAUAGCUGCUUAAAUAGAUCGCUCCAUUCAAAAGGUAGCAAGAACUGGGCCAUGAAAGAACCUGAAUGGGCAAAGAAAAGUUUACAGAUACGAUAACAAAAGUAUAUAAGGCAAAUUAUUUUAUCAUGAACUUCCUUAAUAUAUAGCUUAUUACUAAUCAUGCAUUGAGGGGCGACAAUUUAAGUUGUGUACCUAAAUCAUAAAAUGACAGAGGCAAAAAAAAAAAUCCAACUAAAUUAGUUUUGGACUUUGAGAACUCAUAUUCUUUUCUAAUAUUGGAUGUACAUUUGGCACAUUGUGAAAGGAAUUGUCAUACAAGUCGUAGGAUGCAAAAAGUGAGAAGAAAACUGGAGUAAAAUAUUCAAAAUUCAUGUACCUUAAAACAGCGACGCACGAGAAAUUGAGCAGUCAUCCCCUUCAGCAUGACAGAGGCUGCAACAGCUGGAUCAAUAGAAGAAGGAACUGGAACCACUCUGUCCGCUGGAAGAAUCUGUUCUUCAGCGUAUGAUCCCAUUGGAUUUCCAGCAUAUGCAACAAGGUCACCUACUUUCCUGCCAGUUAGCCCAGGACCCACAGCUACCACAACACCAGCUGCCUCCAUACCUGCAAUCAAAAGCAAUAUUAAUUUAGUUUUAACCAAUUGUUAGCAUCGACAACUUUGUGUAUAACUGUAUAUAGACUCUUAUAUGCUCAAUAAUGAAUGAAAAAACAUAUCAGAACGCAUUUCUUUUCAUUAUUGUUAAAUGUGUGAGCAUCCUAAAGCAAAAAGUGCCAAAAUAAUAUAAGAAUUUCGCUGAAUGAUCCAUGAACUUUAAAGAGGAUGUACUUCAUAUGUUAAAAAUCAGUCAUGCAAAUUCACAAUAUAUGUAUAUCGUUAACUAAACAAAAGAGAUGAUCAGUGAUAGGGACAAAGAAAUAACAUAGAAAUUUUAUAGGAAAUAGAAGUGCAUAUAUACAGUAUACAAUUGCUGCAUAUAUACCGAGGUGUGUUACAAUGAAAGAGGUCGAGCCACUUUAUAUAUACAUUGAAUCAGCUUGCUCUCCAAGCCUGUAACAGUACUGUGAUGUCAUCAUAAUGAUGUCAGCACAUCAUGUCAUGCUACACCAAUAAUCAUCUUAAAAAUUACUUUAUUUAUUAUCUUUUCCAAUGCAAUUUUAUAGAAACGACGGUAGGUACGAGAAGAAAAUCUCUCCAAUAACAGUUUAUACCUAUAGAACUUACGACUGGAGUUCAAUGACAACAUGGUCCCUGUAGGCAUGUGCUAUAUGUGUCGCUUUGCGUGUCUAAUAUAUUGGUGACUGAACUUCAAAGUUUUCAGUCUAGAAAAAGUAAAUUACUUUAGGAUCUUUGGCUAAUCCUCAAGUAAAGAACUGAUAUAGUAGAAUUAACACCUUUACAAUUGGAACAAUAGCAGGGACGCAUCUUCCACAAUGAAAUAGACAAAUUAUUUGACCUGGCCUUUAAGGACUAAUUCAUAUUUUAGGAUUAAAAAUUGGCGAUAACCUAUUUCCCCUCCUUCACAACUAACAUUACUAACUUUUCCAAGUCCAUCAUCCUUAUCUUUAAGAAGAGUAGAGAACAAAAAUAGAUUCUGGAUAGGUUUCUAUGGAUAGUAGAUCUUCUUUUGGCAGAACUAGUUCAAGUAACAUUCAUAUAACAGAUGCAUAAUUGAAUAUAAAAGACAAUAAAAGCAUUUCGCAAAGUAUAAAUCUCUACUAGUAAUCAAACAUAGAACACUUUCUGCUGUCACUACCAUAAGGACUGUCCUGGAUAAGUUGAAACUGUACUCAAAUGAAUCAUAAAUUGACAAACAACAAUGCCAAAAGAAACACACACGCGAAUCUAGAACAUCAAAUAAAGAAUACUGAUACCUUUCUCCAAAACAGAACACAAAAGAAUCCAUUUAUUGUUUUAAGGAUCAAUUAUACAUGUUAUAGCAAGUACACGCUCAUAACAGCAAACCUGGUGUGAAGGGCAUUGUAGCUGCUUUGUAAACCCCUUUCCGAUAGUAUAUAUCAAUAAAAUUUAACCCAAUGGCCUUAUUUUUUACCCUGACCUCCCCAUCUUUGGGUUCUCCAAUUGGCACAUCCUCCCAUUUCAGGACCUGUUAUCAGUUCUACACAAUUUAAGUCAUUAUUCAACAAAAUUUACGACUCUAAUUAAAAUUCUGUGGGAGCACAAUCACAUAACAAGCCUAAAACUAGUUUUGCCUUAGUUGUAACACAGAAGAUGACAAAUGAUAAUGGACAGGUGUCCAAAGGGUAAGAUACUUGAGUUUCUGCUUGGAUGGGUAGGGAAUUUUGAAAAGAAGUAAUGUACCAUUACUUCGUCUCAAAAAUGAAGGAGCUGUUUAUAAACCAAACCUUGUCUGGUUCACGAAAUUAAUGUACUGUAAUUCAUAAAACAGCGAAAUUCACUCUUAUACAUUAGUACUCACAAUUGUUCUUUUAAUGAAUACAAGUUAACUGUCCAUGGGAAUUAAAAAAUAUGAUCCCCCUUUUUAUACAAUACUCUUUGGCAAACGACGUAAGAUAUUGUUACAUUCCAUUCUAUCAUUCCAGACCGAAACAUUACCGAGUGUCUAUAUGUCAUUCUUGUACUCAUAGUCCCAUACCCCUGAGCAACAAUGAUCAUUCAUCGGCCCUUGCAUUAUAGUACCGCGUAUAUGGAGGGUUCGAAUCUUAAUAAAGCUAGACUCGUUUCAGCAUUCUAAUUUCUGUAAUUGACCAAUAUCCACUAAAUAUUAAAUACAUGAAUGAUGUAGCAAACUGAUAUAUACAGAUUAAUAAUCAAGAGAUGAUCAAGUUAAUAACUACUGUAAACACAACAAAGUCAACAAUUCUAAAUGAUGCACACCGAUCAAUUAAAGAAGUCCUAAUGCACCCGCCCCCUAUGGGGUUCGAACCCUCAACCUCUUGUCGCUGGAGGGCUUGUUAGUCCAUGUAUAAAUCCUAAUCGAACUCUACCAUCAUCAAACUAAAUACACUACUAGCAAAUAAAAAAUAUAUAUUAUGAACUAUAAACUUCAGCUGAUAUUUGUGAUCACAACAUAAAGAUACUACAAUACAAACACACACANUUUAUAGAGUAUGGUAUGGUGACAUCCAUCAUCUCUAGCCUGUGCUGCUUUCUCUGUUGUAGAGACGGUUCCAAUAACAGUAGCACCUAGCGCAUUUGCCCACUGGCACAGAAGAGAUCCUACACCACCUGCUGCAGCAUGAACAAGAAUUGUGUGUCCAGGUUCAACCUAUAAUACAAGCUAAUAUGAGUCUCAUGCCAAGAAACACCAUAAUACUAUCAAAAGGAACACCACACGAAAUAUGCAAGCAAUGAUUUAACUUCUUAUGUCAGACCAGUGAUAUUUGAGGUGAAAGGCACAUCACGGCCUAAGAACCUCCUGAACCCAGGCAGAGAGUACUAACGUGAGGUGCAAGAUUGACAAGUUUUUAAAUGCACAGAACUAUAAUCCUGAACUCAAUAAAUGUCAAAUCAGACAUAUAAAACUGUUACCUAUGAACCAAAUGCAACUUAACUAAAUAACACAGAUACAUACAUAUUUGUAAAGUUAAGGUAUUAAACUAGGUUGCUGACCAAUAUAAGGGUCAGGUUAUACAUGCAAAUAUGGAGGAUCUUAACAUUCAGUCUCGUUACAUGGCAAAUGGCUAUAUGACCCAUGAUCUUGUAGUUUUCAUAUAUCCCUUGCUCUUUUCUAUUUAAACAAAAGUAUCUUACUACAAGUUUCUAUUGAAAUGUAGAGUCAAUAGGGUGUAUCAAAUUUUGGAAUUCACGUGCACGAACAGUUUUAUCAACUAAAGUAUAAACGAAUGGAGUGUUGGAUUGUGACAGAGAUCACAAAUGAAACCUCAUGCAAUUUGUCAAAUCCUCACAUGGUACUAAACUGUCAACUAUAGCUGCUUAAAUAGAUCGCUCCAUUCAAAAGGUAGCAAGAACUGGGCCAUGAAAGAACCUGAAUGGGCAAAGAAAAGUUUACAGAUACGAUAACAAAAGUAUAUAAGGCAAAUUAUUUUAUCAUGAACUUCCUUAAUAUAUAGCUUAUUACUAAUCAUGCAUUGAGGGGCGACAAUUUAAGUUGUGUACCUAAAUCAUAAAAUGACAGAGGCAAAAAAAAAAAUCCAACUAAAUUAGUUUUGGACUUUGAGAACUCAUAUUCUUUUCUAAUAUUGGAUGUACAUUUGGCACAUUGUGAAAGGAAUUGUCAUACAAGUCGUAGGAUGCAAAAAGUGAGAAGAAAACUGGAGUAAAAUAUUCAAAAUUCAUGUACCUUAAAACAGCGACGCACGAGAAAUUGAGCAGUCAUCCCCUUCAGCAUGACAGAGGCUGCAACAGCUGGAUCAAUAGAAGAAGGAACUGGAACCACUCUGUCCGCUGGAAGAAUCUGUUCUUCAGCGUAUGAUCCCAUUGGAUUUCCAGCAUAUGCAACAAGGUCACCUACUUUCCUGCCAGUUAGCCCAGGACCCACAGCUACCACAACACCAGCUGCCUCCAUACCUGCAAUCAAAAGCAAUAUUAAUUUAGUUUUAACCAAUUGUUAGCAUCGACAACUUUGUGUAUAACUGUAUAUAGACUCUUAUAUGCUCAAUAAUGAAUGAAAAAACAUAUCAGAACGCAUUUCUUUUCAUUAUUGUUAAAUGUGUGAGCAUCCUAAAGCAAAAAGUGCCAAAAUAAUAUAAGAAUUUCGCUGAAUGAUCCAUGAACUUUAAAGAGGAUGUACUUCAUAUGUUAAAAAUCAGUCAUGCAAAUUCACAAUAUAUGUAUAUCGUUAACUAAACAAAAGAGAUGAUCAGUGAUAGGGACAAAGAAAUAACAUAGAAAUUUUAUAGGAAAUAGAAGUGCAUAUAUACAGUAUACAAUUGCUGCAUAUAUACCGAGGUGUGUUACAAUGAAAGAGGUCGAGCCACUUUAUAUAUACAUUGAAUCAGCUUGCUCUCCAAGCCUGUAACAGUACUGUGAUGUCAUCAUAAUGAUGUCAGCACAUCAUGUCAUGCUACACCAAUAAUCAUCUUAAAAAUUACUUUAUUUAUUAUCUUUUCCAAUGCAAUUUUAUAGAAACGACGGUAGGUACGAGAAGAAAAUCUCUCCAAUAACAGUUUAUACCUAUAGAACUUACGACUGGAGUUCAAUGACAACAUGGUCCCUGUAGGCAUGUGCUAUAUGUGUCGCUUUGCGUGUCUAAUAUAUUGGUGACUGAACUUCAAAGUUUUCAGUCUAGAAAAAGUAAAUUACUUUAGGAUCUUUGGCUAAUCCUCAAGUAAAGAACUGAUAUAGUAGAAUUAACACCUUUACAAUUGGAACAAUAGCAGGGACGCAUCUUCCACAAUGAAAUAGACAAAUUAUUUGACCUGGCCUUUAAGGACUAAUUCAUAUUUUAGGAUUAAAAAUUGGCGAUAACCUAUUUCCCCUCCUUCACAACUAACAUUACUAACUUUUCCAAGUCCAUCAUCCUUAUCUUUAAGAAGAGUAGAGAACAAAAAUAGAUUCUGGAUAGGUUUCUAUGGAUAGUAGAUCUUCUUUUGGCAGAACUAGUUCAAGUAACAUUCAUAUAACAGAUGCAUAAUUGAAUAUAAAAGACAAUAAAAGCAUUUCGCAAAGUAUAAAUCUCUACUAGUAAUCAAACAUAGAACACUUUCUGCUGUCACUACCAUAAGGACUGUCCUGGAUAAGUUGAAACUGUACUCAAAUGAAUCAUAAAUUGACAAACAACAAUGCCAAAAGAAACACACACGCGAAUCUAGAACAUCAAAUAAAGAAUACUGAUACCUUUCUCCAAAACAGAACACAAAAGAAUCCAUUUAUUGUUUUAAGGAUCAAUUAUACAUGUUAUAGCAAGUACACGCUCAUAACAGCAAACCUGGUGUGAAGGGCAUUGUAGCUGCUUUGUAAACCCCUUUCCGAUAGUAUAUAUCAAUAAAAUUUAACCCAAUGGCCUUAUUUUUUACCCUGACCUCCCCAUCUUUGGGUUCUCCAAUUGGCACAUCCUCCCAUUUCAGGACCUGUUAUCAGUUCUACACAAUUUAAGUCAUUAUUCAACAAAAUUUACGACUCUAAUUAAAAUUCUGUGGGAGCACAAUCACAUAACAAGCCUAAAACUAGUUUUGCCUUAGUUGUAACACAGAAGAUGACAAAUGAUAAUGGACAGGUGUCCAAAGGGUAAGAUACUUGAGUUUCUGCUUGGAUGGGUAGGGAAUUUUGAAAAGAAGUAAUGUACCAUUACUUCGUCUCAAAAAUGAAGGAGCUGUUUAUAAACCAAACCUUGUCUGGUUCACGAAAUUAAUGUACUGUAAUUCAUAAAACAGCGAAAUUCACUCUUAUACAUUAGUACUCACAAUUGUUCUUUUAAUGAAUACAAGUUAACUGUCCAUGGGAAUUAAAAAAUAUGAUCCCCCUUUUUAUACAAUACUCUUUGGCAAACGACGUAAGAUAUUGUUACAUUCCAUUCUAUCAUUCCAGACCGAAACAUUACCGAGUGUCUAUAUGUCAUUCUUGUACUCAUAGUCCCAUACCCCUGAGCAACAAUGAUCAUUCAUCGGCCCUUGCAUUAUAGUACCGCGUAUAUGGAGGGUUCGAAUCUUAAUAAAGCUAGACUCGUUUCAGCAUUCUAAUUUCUGUAAUUGACCAAUAUCCACUAAAUAUUAAAUACAUGAAUGAUGUAGCAAACUGAUAUAUACAGAUUAAUAAUCAAGAGAUGAUCAAGUUAAUAACUACUGUAAACACAACAAAGUCAACAAUUCUAAAUGAUGCACACCGAUCAAUUAAAGAAGUCCUAAUGCACCCGCCCCCUAUGGGGUUCGAACCCUCAACCUCUUGUCGCUGGAGGGCUUGUUAGUCCAUGUAUAAAUCCUAAUCGAACUCUACCAUCAUCAAACUAAAUACACUACUAGCAAAUAAAAAAUAUAUAUUAUGAACUAUAAACUUCAGCUGAUAUUUGUGAUCACAACAUAAAGAUACUACAAUACAAACACACACACAGGGGGAGAGAGAGAGGGAGGGAGAGAGAGAGAGAGAGAGAGAGAGGAGAGACCUCGUGACCGCCCAAUUCAUGAACCCUGAUUGCUUUGACCAUGUCUGUUUCGGCUGCUGAUGAAGAAAUUGAAAGUGAUGCUGUGUAUCUGAACUUGCGACCUUUGUUCUGGUUUAUACUAAAUAAAUUAUUAAUACAAGUUGUUGACAACUUUAACUUUCGGGUCAAUGACAUGAGUUGAGGGAUUUGUGGUUCGAUUAAUCUCAUCAUUUUCAAGGCUAGUCUCGUUUGAAAAAUAAUCGGGAUCAAAGUAGAAAAUAUAGCCGAGAUUUGUGGUUAUACAGUAUUAAUCUCUCAGUCAAUUUAUUAAUUUGUUUCACUUUUUUUAUCUAUCUUGAUUUGAUAAUUAAUUUCUACAUGGCUACAUCCGCUUAGGUUAUUUAUCCUGGCUAUAGGUCUAAAACACGUUUUUUUCACUCUUAUAGAAUGUAAUUUUAUAAAUUAUCUCAACUUUUAUGAAUAAUAAUUUAAUAUAUUUUAAAAAAAUAAAUUAUAAAAUUAUAUUUUAUAUGAAACUUAAAAUACGUGGCAAGUAAUAAAAAAAUAGUAAAGAAAUUAGAGAGACACAUGGAGUACAAUUAAAAAUUAAUUUACUUUCAGAAAAUCCUAAGAAAAAGUCUAAUAUAUAUUUUUAUUGAAAAAAUUAAAGACAUUACUUUUUACUAUCAAUCGAAAUUCUUAGAAAAUGCGUCUACAAAAAAUCAAAAAGACUUAUAAAAAGUAAAAGAUGGAGUACUUCCAUAUAUUUAAAGAUAUAUAUUUUUCUAAUUUUCUUAACAGAUUAACGAAUUGGGAAUAUAUAUAUAUAUAUAUAUAUAUAUAUAUAUAACAAUCAAUCAUUAAAUGUUAGCCCCUCUAUUCAUAAUUUUUUGUCAUGUCUGAUUUUUAAAUGAAUAAAUAAUAUAAAUCUAAUUAAAAUAUAUAUAUUAUAUAACUGAAAACUAUAGGAAAAUAUAUCAUUUUAAAAUAUUAUUUUUACUUAUUAAAAGGAAUAAAAAAAUAUAUUUAAUUAAUCAAUCAAAAAUUAUAGAUAAAAAUGGCGCCUUCCUUAGCUGUGGUUAAGGAAGGAGUUGGCGCUUUCUCAGUGAAUACAACACGGUCUCUUGACACCAUUUAGUGGUAAGUGGAGUAUGCGGCGCGAAUUCUUUUUUUUAUUUAGUCAAUUUUCACUCAAGGCAGUUGGUCAUCAAUGUAUUAACCUGAUGCCAACUCCCAUGUCUUAAACAAAAAAUGACAUUCUCAACACCUUAUACAUAUAUGUAUAUAUUCAAAACAAAGUAGGCGACAACUCUUAUUCAAAAUAAGAGUUAACACUUAUUUUGAAAUAAAUAUUAACGAAUACAUACAUACAUACAUACAUACAUAUAUAUAUAUACACACAUUAUUAAGUUCUUUGAAGACACAUUCAGAUUUGACUUUACUGCUUGAUUUUGGAACCACUAUUAUGUUAACUUGAUUAAUUUUUCGUUAAGUAAAUACAACGAACAAAUUCGUACGUAUUGAUGUUUAGUGCACUGGUCUGGCUCGCAAACGACUAACACUGAUAUCAACUUCAUACCAUCUUUGAUAAAUAAACUUGACCAGUCCAUUCCAUGUUAGAAAUGCUUCAAUAUCUAAUCACGAAUAACUAGAGUGUCGAUACUGAAAACCCCUGGCACUUGAUACUAAAUUAGUAGACAACUUAUGUUCCCUAAAACAACUUGUACUUUAUUUUUUACUGAGGUCUGAACAUAUUAAUGAAUUUCUUUUCAAUGAUCUUGUGAUUGCUUUAGUUUGUUUGAUCUUCUAAUUUCUUAUGUACCUGUUCUUCAAGCUGUCGAUUCUUGUAUCGAACUUAUUUAUUGUUUCAUGUCUUGAUUAUAGUCUUUAAGUUAUCGCUAUUACAAAUUAUGUUACAUUAUGUCUUACAAUAUAAUUUCAUUCCAGUAACUCUUAAACAUCAAUUUUGGAGUCAAUCAUCCAACAAACAUUAUCACUCACACAAUCAAUCCUCUUUUUAAUCAAAUAAUGUAUAACAUGUGAUGAUCCCUAAAUAUUGUGUGUUAAACUCAAUAGGCAUGCGUGUUAAUAUGGAGGCACUGUGGAUAGAGUUGGUCAAACAGAUGAUUUAGCGUUGCCCGAAUUGUUGACAAGCACGGUCAAAGUACAACCUGAACCAUGUCGGGGUAAACCAACACAAAUCGCGGAGGAGAAGUGUUUAAUUUUCAGGAACAGUGAACCAGUGCAGCUCGUCUCGCUUUGACGAAUUGGUACGGUACGUGCUUAACCGGCACGACAACGACUAAGUGAAGGAUGUUUUGAUUUUUAUUAUUUUUAAUUCAUUUGUUUUAAGUAUUUGCUUUGUUUUAAGUUUUGGUUUCAUUUAAAAUACAGUUUUGUCAUAAAAGAAUGUGUUUAUUUUGUUUUGUAUAAAAUUAGAUUAUUUAAAUUAGAAAGUUUUUGAUAUGUUUAAGAUUAAGAUUUUAAUGUUUAUUAUUUUUUGUGUAUAUUAGAGUUUAUUUUUGUGUAUUAAAUAAUUUAAAUUUGAAUAAAUUCUAAUGUACAAACGAAUAUAUCCAUUAAAUGAAAUAACUUAAAUUUCAAUGAAUUCUAAUUUAUAAUCACUAAUCACAGUUAAAAAAUAUUAAUUUAUUGUUAAAAUUAGAAAUGAAUAUUUUAUUAAGAUAAUAUGUAAAAUUGAAUAAAAAAUAAAUGGCAAACCCGCCUCAUCAAACCACCAAAGCACGUCGUGCCGAUUACGGGUUAUCAUUUCCCAGUACAAGCCCAGCAUGGCCUGACCCGGCCCGCUUAGCAGUGUCGGUUUCAUAUUAGGGUAGAAUGAGCACGCCCUUCCAUUAAUCGACACGGCACGGCUCGAACCGCCCGUUUGACUGACACUGCUUGUGAAAUGACAAAAAAAAACAGGAUUAGAGUAUCUGUUAAAGGAUUACAAAGGUAAACUAAUGAAUAUGUAAUUCAUAAAUAUAAUAAACUUAUAGAAAAGGAAUAUAUUGAUACGAUUUGUGGUUCCCACAUUUUUUAAUAUAAAUGAUGAAUUUUAGAUUCAUUAGUAAACAAGAAUAAGAAUAUUAAUAAAAUCCAACAUGAUAGUUUAUGUAUAAACACAUAGUAUUUUUGGUAGAUCGAAUAUAGCAGGCCUAUAUAUUACUGAACAACAGCAUUCAGCGAUCAUUUUCAUAUCUCAAAACCAAAAUAUUAUCUUUAUCAGUUUAGUGUUCAAAAUGAAGUUCUGGUUUAUGUUUAUCAUGAUUUUGAUUGUAGGUACUGAAGAUGAAAUUAUCAACGAUAUUUAUGUUGAAGAAAUUCCCGUAAUCCAGAAUCGACAUCUUACUGAGUCUGAGGGAUCAAAUCCAUCAGCUUCAAAAAUAAAGAAAAGGAAAUGGGGAAAUCCAGGUACGAUUAUUUUAUUAGAUCACUAUAUCGAUUUUAAUAACAAGCAUAUAUCAAUUUUAGAAAAAGUCUAUGUCUUUUUGUUUAACUAUAUUCCAACUAUCUUGAAACUAAUAUUUCAUCAAGAUAUAGUUAAUCACUUUACCGUUUUUUUAUUGAUUGAUUUUUCUUUGAAAUACAUCAAUGAUGAUCUCACUUUAAAUGGAAUAUAUAAGUAUGAAUGUGGGUGCAAUUAGUUGUUUUAUGUUUGGUACAUUUGGAUCAAGCCCAUAUGAUGUUGACUAGGAUGGGCACGGGGGCGCUUUGGGGUCGGGGAGUGCUAUCCCCGUCCUCGAUCCCCGAAUCCAAUAUCCAUCUCCGACCCCGCCGCGAAUUCUGAAUGGAGAUUCUUUUCCUCUCCUAUCCCCGCCGCGAACCGGGAACGGGAUCCCCGCGGGGAUUCCGGUAAUCUUAUUUUCAAAUUAAAAAAAAUUAUAUAUAUAAUAUACAUUUUAAUUAAAAAAAUUAACUAUUAACUCCUAAUAUAUUAAUAAAAUGAACUAUCACAUAUUUUCAACAUCAAAUCAUAUUAAAAUUGAUUUGUAAUAUACAUAAAAAAAAUUGUGAAAUUAUAAAUAUAUUAUAUAACAAUAUAAUUAUAAUCGAUCAAUAAAAUAAAGAUUAUUUUUUAAUUUUAAUAAUACUAUAAAAAUUAAAGCGCAUUUCAAGUAAGUAGAGUAAAACCUGACCAGAUUUUUUGGAACUAAAGCUUUCUCUCUUUAUUAGACCUUCUUAGUGCCCAAAACAGACCUAUUUCUAAUUAUUUAAUUACUAUAAUAUAUAUACACACAUACAUACAAUCGAGGUAGGGGAUCGGGGCUGUGAGACACAAAUCUCCGACCCCGCCCUGAUCCCCGAAUUUUUUAUAAAAAAAUUUCGAUCCCCACCCCGCUCCGGGAAAAUUCACCGAAUCGCCGACCCGAAUGGGACGGGGAUCAGAUCGGAGUCGAGCGGGGCAGAAUAAAUACCAAUCCCUAAUGUUGACUAUUACAUCUUUUUUAAGAAAAAUAAGUUCCAAUUACUAAAAAAAAGUGUGUGUUAAAUAUGCCUCCUUAGGUGACAAAAA